UACGUGGGGGCUAGCGUUGUCCGGAAUCAUUUGGGCGUAAAGAGCGUGUAGGCGGCCCGGUAAGUCCGCUGUAAAAGUCAAAGGCUCAACCUUUGAAUGUCAGUGGAUACUGCCGGGCUAGAGUCCGGAAGAGGCGAGUGGAACUCCUGGUGUAGCGGUGGAAUGCGCAGAUAUCAGGAAGAACACCAACGGCGAAGGCAGCUCGCUGGGACGGUACUGACGCUGAGACGCGAAAGCGUGGGGAGCGAACAGG
rnacentral:rRNA from 1 species